rnacentral:rRNA from 1 species
CCUACGGGAGGCAGCAGUGAGGAAUAUUGGUCAAUGGGCGGAAGCCUGAACCAGCCAAGUAGCGUGCAGGAUGACGGCCCUACGGGUUGUAAACUGCUUUUAUACGGGAAUAACGCGCCUUAUGUGUAGGGCUUUGCAUGUACCGUAUGAAAAAGGACCGGCUAAUUCCGUGCCAGCAGCCGCGGAAAUACGGAAGGUCCGGGCGUUAACCGGAUUUAUUGGGUUUAAAGGGAGCGUAGGCGGUCUGUUAAGUCAGUGGUCAAAGCCCGGGGCUCAACCCCGGCCCGCCGUUGAAACUGGCAGUCUCGAGUUGGAGAGAAGUAUGCGGAAGGCGCGGUGUAGCGGUGAAAUGCAUAGAUAUCGCGCAGAACUCCGAUUGCGAAGGCAGCAUGCCGGCUCCACACUGACGCUGAGGCACGAAAGCGUGGGUAUCGAACAGGAUUAGAGACCCGAGUAGUC